UUCCUCUUGUCCACAUCCUCGCCAUCCACUUUUGUUGGCUUCCUUAACCCCUGCCAUUCUGACUUGGGUUUGUGCGUGGCUCCUCUAGUGGGCCACUUGUAUCCGGAGGUCUUUGUGUUGGUGUCGUACUGUCCCUGUGGAUCUAGAGAAUGACUUGAAAUCAGCAUGCAUGUCUUUGCAGAGUUCAGAAGAGGGCGCCAGAUCCACUCUGAGAAGAGGAGUUUCCGGUGGUUUUGAGUGCCUUGUGGGUGCUGGGAAUGAAAUCCUGCUCCUCUGGAAGGAGCCAGUGCCCUUCUCAGCUGCCAGAAUUUUGUAUCUGUGUUGAUGGUUCGGGAGCAUUCAGUAGAGUCUGACGUCUUCCUUCUCAUCUUAUGGACUAAUUUGAGAAGCCGUUGUUUGGGGUGGAAGCAUCACCUCAGCUCCUUGCACCCACCCUUGGAGCGCCAAUGAAGCAGGAAUAAAGCAGGAUGGUCCAUUUCAAGCCCCUUCCCCUGGGAGUCGCCUUGGUCGGGACUCCACGUCCGGGAAAGCCUGCCAAGCAUUGAUCCCUCCCCAGGGAUGGUCAGGACCACUCGGACAGACUAUUUAGGCUGCCACCCAGAAAAGGAACACUUGGUCUCCGUGUUUUGCGUGGUUUCCCCAUCUCUUUCCCUUGCCAUGCUUUCU